ACAAUUGCACAGUCAGCUCUGGAAAGCCAGGUAAUAAUAUGCAAUUCUUUGACUGUCCUCUGUAACCUUCUCUAUUUUCUUACAUGUCCUUAAAAAGACAGAUAGAGCUACAGAUGAUUAUCAGGUCUUCCAAACUUUCCAUUGAAGCAGACGUGUGGGAGCCCAGCGCUCAAUGGCUCCAAUUCUCUCCUGUAUUCUUUUCACAUCAGACUGAUUUCUUCAUUGUCCUCUGGAUCACAACAUGCAUUUCUCUCCUUGCACAUUUGUUCAGCUCUGGUUCAAGUUAUGCAAGCAGACUGGAAGAGAAUGGCGAUGGACAUCUUGACCUCUCAUCUGUGAGCAAUGAAUGUGAACCGUACGCACACUGCAGAUUUUGAGAGGAAGCUCUGAAACUAUAAUAAAGCUGCCUUCCUAGACCUUUGGUUCUUGAUUUGACUCCUGAUUUCUAGAGGCACUGGAGGGGGGUUGUAUGCUGCUGUUCCCCUUCCUCAGAUGAUCGACUCCUGCUCUCCGGAAUUCUCACAGAAAUUCAGAGAAGGGGUGGGUGAUUCUCUUUACCUGGGGCUCCUUUCUUCCUUACUCGUAUGGCCAAGUCCUCCCUGUUUUUCUAGCUUAGGUUUGCCCAACAGCCCUGCUCUUGUGCCCUAGGUUGGUCAGAUUGUAGGACAAAACACAGAACAGCCUGUUGAAUUUGAAUUUCAGAUGAAUAACAAAUACUUUUUAAGUGUAAGUAUGUCCCAAAUAUCACACAGGGCAUGUGUAUAACAGAAAAGUGUGUUGUUCAUCAAAAAUUCUCGUUCACUGAGACUCUAGACAACCUCAUCAAAUGUCAUCCCUGUGUGUGUCUCUGACACCUGUGCACUCCCUACCAGCACUCCCUCCUGGCCCUGGAUUUAUCCUGCUCCCUUUCCCUCCUCUCUCCUCUCCCACUUCACAGAAGCGAGGAAACCACGGGGCUCCCACAACCCUGGCCUGAGACACAGCCACCCCUCCCUUAGGAGAUUGCGGGUGUCUUCCAACCAAUCUCCUUGUUUCCAUCCCUGACUGCUUGUGUCUGUCUUUGUUCAGAAAGCUUUCUCUAAAGUGUGAUGAGGUCACAAUUCUUCCCAGAACCCUCAGAAUGAAUUCCAGAACCCCUAAGCUCCUCUUUCACUUUGCCUCAUUGCAUCCACAACCUCAUGCCCUGCUGUUCUUCCCUCUUCUUGCUCUUUCCAUCCCUCCCACACCCCAUGCCGAACCCCCCUAACCCUCCAGGCUGUUGGUUUCCCCAGCUCCUCCCUGCGUAUCCCCACAUAUGUCCUCCUGGCUCUCUCCCUCGCUACAUUCCCAUCACGCUGCCAGAGAGCUCCUGCUGUCACUCUGUCGAAAAUCCUGCCUU
rnacentral:lncRNA from 1 species